rfam:Acinetobacter sp. CIP 102637 genomic scaffold acLrO-supercont1.3, whole genome shotgun sequence.
AAAACGGCUUCUUUUGAAGCCGUUUUUUAUUGCCUAAAAAAUGCUAU